CCUCUUUCUCAAUCUCUUUCGCACAUUUCUCUCUGCAUCCGCCGCGUCACCACACCACCGCAACUCUCAGCUGGAAGGGAUGUCGCCUCUGCCUCGUUGUGGCCCGCACCUCCUCACCAUCACGGUUGCCUUCAUCUCCGCCCAUCCUCACCAUCAACCUCCCCUCCACUCAGGAGACGUCGGCUUUGUCAACACAGCCGCCGAUGCCGCCAUGACUUUGUCUACGCCGAUACACAGCUUGGACAACAACAACUACAUUGAUAUGAGGCUCGUGGACAUCGACAAGAGCAGCAAUCGCGUAAGAUUUCAUGGCUCCAAGUUUUUUUCUUCCUAUAUACUCCCUCCGUCCAAAAAUAGUUGUCGAAGAAACAAGUUCAUUCCUCUGACAAGUAUUUCUGGAUGGAGGGGGUAGAGGAUUUCAUGGUAGAAUUGAGGAAGAACUAGUUAGUCUGUAGCUUAGGGCAUCUCCAAAGCUGACCCGCAAGGCCGCAAAUGUCUCCGGUAUAUGUCCAUUUUUAUAUCUGGACGUGGUCCGCGAACAUGAUGGCGGAGUGAGUCAUCCAAAGCUAUUCACAAAUUAAUCCAGUUGUAAGGAUAUAUAUAUAUAUAUAUAUAUAUAUAUAUAUAUAUAUAGACACACACAGAGAGAGAGAGAGUAGAGGGAACCAUGCAUGUGGUGGCAUUUAUGGUGUGGUGUCUGUUUGGAAGGAGAGAGAGGAGAGGGGGCCAUGCAUGUGAAGAGAGAGAGAAGGACCACACAGAGACUUUUGGUUGGUUAAGUGGAUGUCUGGACUCCGGUAUAGCUCCCCACGUUUGUCUUGACUUUGCAGGAAAAUGGACGUCAGGACCACUUCACAGACCGAUAAGGGUCUUCAUUGGAUUGCAAAAGUGAAAAAAAGUGUCUGGUUGAACAUAUACCAGAGUUUUGAGGGUCUCCUUUGGAGAUGCCCUUACACUAUUUUUACACUAGAAAAAAAAUACACAAAUUGUGAGAGAUUCAUACUGCGUAGGAUUUCAUGGCUCUAAUUUUUUUUCUUCAUAAAUAGAAGAUUUCAUGAUCGAAUUGAGGAAGAACUAGUUAGUGUGUAGCUUACACUAUUUUUACGCUAGAAAAAGAUACACCAAUUGUGAGAGAUUCAUAUCGCGUAAGAUUUCAUCGUAGUAUGAGAGGGAUGAGUUGAAGGACUACAAGUUCAUAAAUAGAAGUGUUGAUUAAUUACAAGUUCAUAAAUAGAAUUCUUGAUCCCAAAAUAGAAGUUGGAUCAUGCAUAAAUAGAAGUGAUACAAGACCCUAAAUGUACUAAUAAUUGUAUUACAUAUCUUUGGCAUUUUGUAUGGAUUAAGCGAGCCUUCAGUCCUUCUUCAAUGUAGUUUUGUUUCCCUUCAGUAUUUCAUCUAUUGAUUUUUUGUAGGGCUAUCUACGAAUGUAGACUGGGAGGAUGUCUGGGCAAGCUCAAGCAGUGGAUUAUGAGGUCCAGCAGCUUCAGAGCUCUUAAGAAACUAUAGCCAUGAAGCUGAAGGAGGAGAGGUAUCGGCUGAAGGAGGAGAGGGAUCGGCUAAAGGAGGUGGGAGAUUAACUAAAGGAGGAGAAGGAUCAGCUGAAGGAAGAGAAGGAUGAUCUCAAACAACUCAAGAUUGAUUUUAUCGCAGUUAGGCGUGAGAAUAGGCGGAAGCUUCAAAAGAUCAAGGCAACCGUUGCGCGCUAAAGCUUAAAUAUGUUAAGUUGAUCGAGUACCUAUCUAACUUGUUAAACUGCUAUGUUUUGAGAGAGUACCUAUCUAAGUUGUUGAAUUGAUAUGCUAAGUUCAUUAACUAUCUUAGUUGUCAUACUACUAUGCCAUGUUAGACCUUCCCCGUGGUGCUGAAGGUUUUACUAAUGUUAUACUACUAUGUUGUCAUUUGGCUG
rnacentral:lncRNA from 1 species